rnacentral:rRNA from 1 species
UCAGAUUGAACGCUGGCGGCAGGCCUAACACAUGCAAGUCGAGCGGCAGCGGGAGAAAGCUUGCUUUCUUGCCGGCGAGCGGCGGACGGGUGAGUAAGGUAUGGGGAUCUGGCCGAAGGCGGGGGAUAACCACUGGAAACGGUGGCUAAUACCGCAUAAUCUCUAAGGAGCAAAGUGGGGGACCUUUGGGCCUCACACCUUCGGAUGAACCCAUAUGAGAUUAGCUAGUAGGUGGGGUAAAGGCUCACCUAGGCGACGAUCUCUAGCUGGUCUGAGAGGAUGAUCAGCCACACUGGGACUGAGACACGGCCCAGACUCCUACGGGAGGCAGCAGUGGGGAAUAUUGCACAAUGGGCGCAAGCCUGAUGCAGCCAUGCCGCGUGUAUGAAGAAGGCCUUCGGGUUGUAAAGUACUUUCAGUCGUGAGGAAGGUGUUAGGGUUAAUAACCUUAGCAAUUGACGUUAGCGACAGAAGAAGCACCGGCUAACUCCGUGCCAGCAGCCGCGGUAAUACGGAGGGUGCGAGCGUUAAUCGGAAUUACUGGGCGUAAAGGGCACGCAGGCGGUUAAUUAAGUUGGAUGUGAAAUCCCCGGGCUU